rnacentral:tRNA from 1 species
GGGGUUGGGGAUUUAGCUCAGCGGUAGAGCGCUUGCCUAGCAAGCGCAAGGCCCUGGGUUGAGUCCCCAGCUCCG